rnacentral:tRNA from 1 species
GCCCUCGUGGUGUAGUGGUCAGCACGCUCGACGCGUAACCGAGAGGUCCGUGGUUAGAUUCCCGGCGAGGGCU